rnacentral:tRNA from 2 species
AUUCCCUUAGUACAGCCAGUACAGGUGACUUCCAAUCAUCCGACCUUGGUGAAACCCCAAGAGGGAAUA